rnacentral:rRNA from 1 species
CUACGGGCGGCUGCAGUGAGGAAUAUUGCACAAUGGGGGGAACCCUGAUGCGGCAACGCCGCGUGGAGGAUGACGCAUUUCGGUGUGUAAACUCCUUUUAUAUGUCAAGAAAAUGACGGUAGCAUAUGAAUAAGCACCGGCUAACUCCGUGCCAGCAGCCGCGGUAAUACGGAGGGUGCAAGCGUUACUCGGAAUCACUGGGCGUAAAGGACGCGUAGGCGGGUUGGAAAGUCAGGUGUGAAAUCCUACAGCUUAACUGUAGAACUGCACUUGAAACUUCUAAUCUAGAGCAUGGGAGGGGGAGAUGGAAUUAGUGGUGUAGGGGUAAAAUCCGUAGAUAUCACUAGGAAUACCUAAAGCGAAGGCGAUCUCCUGGAACACUACUGACGCUAAGGCGUGAAAGCGUGGGGAGCAAACAGGAUUAGAUACCCCAGUAGUC